rnacentral:rRNA from 1 species
GAUAAACGCUGGCGGCGUGCCUAAUACAUGCAAGUCGAGCGAACGGACGAGAAGCUUGCUUCUCUGAUGUUAGCGGCGGACGGGUGAGUAACACGUGGAUAACCUACCUAUAAGACUGGGAUAACUUCGGGAAACCGGAGCUAAUACCGGAUAAUAUUUUGAACCGCAUGGUUCAAAAGUGAAAGACGGUCUUGCUGUCACUUAUAGAUGGAUCCGCGCUGCAUUAGCUAGUUGGUAAGGUAACGGCUUACCAAGGCAACGAUGCAUAGCCGACCUGAGAGGGUGAUCGGCCACACUGGAACUGAGACACGGUCCAGACUCCUACGGGAGGCAGCAGUAGGGAAUCUUCCGCAAUGGGCGAAAGCCUGACGGAGCAACGCCGCGUGAGUGAUGAAGGUCUUCGGAUCGUAAAACUCUGUUAUUAGGGAAGAACAUAUGUGUAAGUAACUGUGCACAUCUUGACGGUACCUAACCAGAAAGCCACGGCUAACUACGUGCCAGCAGCCGCGGUAAUACGUAGGUGGCAAGCGUUAUCCGGAAUUAUUGGGCGUAAAGCGCGCGUAGGCGGUUUUUUAAGUCUGAUGUGAAAGCCCACGGCUCAACCGUGGAGGGUCAUUGGAAACUGGAAAACUUGAGUGCAGAAGAGGAAAGUGGAAUUCCAUGUGUAGCGGUGAAAUGCGCAGAGAUAUGGAGGAACACCAGUGGCGAAGGCGACUUUCUGGUCUGUAACUGACGCUGAUGUGCGAAAGCGUGGGGAUCAAACAGGAUUAGAUACCCUGGUAGUCCACGCCGUAAACGAUGAGUGCUAAGUGUUAGGGGGUUUCCGCCCCUUAGUGCUGCAGCUAACGCAUUAAGCACUCCGCCUGGGGAGUACGACCGCAAGGUUGAAACUCAAAGGAAUUGACGGGGACCCGCACAAGCGGUGGAGCAUGUGGUUUAAUUCGAAGCAACGCGAAGAACCUUACCAAAUCUUGACAUCCUUUGACAACUCUAGAGAUAGAGCCUUCCCCUUCGGGGGACAAAGUGACAGGUGGUGCAUGGUUGUCGUCAGCUCGUGUCGUGAGAUGUUGGGUUAAGUCCCGCAACGAGCGCAACCCUUAAGCUUAGUUGCCAUCAUUAAGUUGGGCACUCUAAGUUGACUGCCGGUGACAAACCGGAGGAAGGUGGGGAUGACGUCAAAUCAUCAUGCCCCUUAUGAUUUGGGCUACACACGUGCUACAAUGGACAAUACAAAGGGCAGCGAAACCGCGAGGUCAAGCAAAUCCCAUAAAGUUGUUCUCAGUUCGGAUUGUAGUCUGCAACUCGACUACAUGAAGCUGGAAUCGCUAGUAAUCGUAGAUCAGCAUGCUACGGUGAAUACGUUCCCGGGUCU